AAGGUGGGUGGGAGGGACAAGAGGAAAAGAUGCAUCACACAUCGCCUUUCGCCUCUCCGCCCGAUUCAUCGUCAGUACUACACAACUUGCUGAUGACUUUUGCG
ensembl:ncRNA F47E1.8 ncRNA